AAGAACGCGUAAAAAGUCGUGUACAGGUUGUUUGGUAUAGUCGAAAAAGGAAGCGAAAAAGGGAGAAGAAAAUGCAAUGCCGUGAAUGCAGCGCGACAUUCCGUCUCCUGCAUAUAUAAUGUCCAUUGUCGUUACGCGUGUGUUGGUGACGUGGCGUGGCGUGGCGUGGCGUGACGUGGUUUACUCCUCGGGAUCUCUCUCUCUCUCUCUCUCUCUCUCACUCGAAUAGGUACGCAGGAGGGAUGGUGAACCGUUAAAAAAUGUCUAGAAUUUCGAACGACCACUCUCUCGCGAGCGAAGAAGUUUCUAAUCAACGUGGAACCAAGACCCUGAUGGUCACGCGUCGCUGCAAUGUAAAACGAGAAAUUCUUUUUUCACGUUGGAGAUGAGGUCGCGACUCCCGGUUCUUCUAUGAAAGACGCGUACGUUUGAAAAACGAUCGCCCAACGAAGCGAUCCGGCGCUUUGCGGAGCAAAGAGGAGUCCUAUGCGGUAAGAUCGACGCCUUAUGCCUCGGACUGUACGUAAAUUUGUAUCAAUUGCCGGUACAGCUGCUUCAAUUUAUUGUGGGAUUAGAAACAAUGAGUGGGGUCAAAUGGUCCCUUCUUGUCAUAAUGUACCAACCCUCGUUGCCGUCUGUUAUGACGUCACUCGCACGACCGAAAUUAUCAGUCGUCCAUUUGCUUUUCGAGCCGCGCCUGCCCAAUCGUCGUUUCUCUCGAUUGAAUCAAGAGAAAAUCAUUGUGCCGCUCGUAUAUGCGCUGUAUACGAGUUGUUCUCCACUUUUAUUCGUUCGUUGGUAGGGUCACUAGAAUUUUCCACCGACGAUUCCUCUCCAUACGAGCUAUACAGUGUAUAACGCAUCGAGCAUGCGUUCAAGGAAAGAACGAUAUCGCAAGGACAGCCACGACGAUAUAUAAAUAUAUGGUUAAGAAAAUCCAGUUUCCCGAUCUCCUAGUGUUGCGGAGAUCCGGUGAUUAGCAGCGUACACGAGGGGUAGCGAAGCAGUGCGAGAAGGAUGAAAAAUAAAAGAAAGAACGAAGAAAUUCUAGCCGAUUGUUCGGCAUGAAUGAGGCACCUUGCUCACUGGCGGCGGUCUUUUCCCCCUUGGUCGCAGGUCCCGUAAAUUUUCCAUAAGGACAAUCGGCACCGGGGUAAAAAGAUAAUCCGAUGAGUCACCACUGAUCUCGCCUUUCCCGUGUUUUCGAGCAGCGACGUCUGACUCGAGAAUUUUUCUUUGUCAGUUACUCUACCCCCUGACGGAUAACUUCGCGAAAAGGUGAAUACAGGUGAAUAUUCCUUAA